rnacentral:rRNA from 1 species
CCAAUAGCGUAUAUUAAAGUUGUUGUGGUUAAAAAGCUCGUAGUUGAACCUUGGGCCUGGCUGGCCGGUCCGCCUCACCGCGUGUACUGGUCCGGCCGGGCCUUUCCCUCUGUGGAACCCCAUGCCCUUCACUGGGCGUGGCGGGGAAACAGGACUUUUACUGUGAAAAAAUUAGAGUGCUCCAGGCAGGCCUAUGCUCGAAUACAUUAGCAUGGAAUAAUAGAAUAGGACGUGUGGUUCUGUUUUGUUGGUUUCUAGGACCGCCGUAAUGAUUAAUAGGGACAGUCGGGGGCAUCAGUAUUCAAUUGUCAGAGGUGAAAUUCUUGGAUUUAUUGAAGACUAACUACUGCGAAAGCAUUUGCCAAGGAUGUUUUCAUUAAUCAGGAACGAAAGUUAGGGGAUCGAAGACGAUCAGAUACCGUCGUAGUCUUAACCAUAAACUAUGCCGACUAGGGAUCGGACGGUGUUAUUUUUUGACCCGUUCGGCACCUUACG